rnacentral:ncRNA from 1 species
UCUUAUCCAGAGUGGCGGAGGGACUGGCCCUAUGAUGCCCAGCAACCAGCUUUCAUUAGGCAAGGUGCUAAUUCCAGCGGUUUUUACCGAAAGAUAAGA